rnacentral:lncRNA from 1 species
AGGUUUUGCAAGACAGCUUUGCCAGCAGCCAGCUACACUGAGCCUUCUGGGAUCUGAGCACCUACCCGGGCAAUGCGCAGAAUACACGGAGCCCCUGGAUUUUGUCCAGCCACUCAGACUGAGGCACUCAGUCGCCUGUCUCUGGCUCCCUGGCACCGGCCACGAGGCAGUGCUGACAGGCUCUUUUCAAAAAGUCUCAUGGUUUGGGUCUGUUCAGAAAAAAGUGCCUCUUGCCACUCACCAGAUAUGCUGGAGGGCUCAAAACAUAGACAUGGAAAAGCAGUGGCCAUAGCUACUGUCCUGGCUCCUCCCAGAUGUUGGCUUUUCCAUUCUUUGGGUUAAGAUUACUGCUACUUCCUCUACCAGAAUGAGCUUCAAACACCACAAUACAAAUGCCUGGUCUGUUGUGCUCGUGGAUGUGUUUAUGAUCACUUGGAGGAUAAAAUACAACACUUUUCCAGGAUGGAGACUCCAGUCCCAACCAAGAGAGCACAACCACACCGGUGUAACACUCCUCCUGCAAACACACCACCACCCAGGUACCGCCUGGGGGUCCAGUGCAGAGAAACUCUGCCUGUAAGGACAGUUUUUAACUUAAGCUGGCACCCUCAACACCUGCACUGCCAGGCCAAGCUGCUGAGUCACUUACAGAUUGUUAAUCUUCUUUUUUAAUGUUUCCAUCUCAAUCUAUUUUGUAUUGCCUUUUA